GGGGGUGUGGUGAAACGGGAUCACGCUGGUUUGCGACUCCAGAGUUGUGGGUUCAAUUCCCACCGCCUCCACCA
rnacentral:tRNA from 1 species